AGUCUUAUAUUCAUAAACUUGAUUUUAAAUUGCAAAUUUAAAGGUGAAUAAUUUUAAUUCUAAGGCUU
rnacentral:tRNA from 4 species